rnacentral:misc_RNA from 1 species
GUAGGUGAACCUGCGGAAGGAUCAUUAACAUGAUACUAUAGAAUUUUAACCCCACUUUUCGUACGAAUCUUAAUAUUAAAUGAAUUUAUUUUCAUUUUUUACCCCCUUCUUUUUACAAAUCAUCUAGACUGAUAUUAAAUCAAUAAUAACGCUAAAACAACUCUUAGCAACGGAUAUCUUGGCUCUC